rnacentral:tRNA from 1 species
GUCUCCUCGGUGGCUCAGAUGGAUAGAGCGUCUGCCAUGUAAGCAGGAGGUCCCGGGUUCGAGUCCCGGUCGGGCCA